rnacentral:rRNA from 1 species
GACGAACGCUGGCGGCGUGCCUAAUACAUGCAAGUAGAACGCUGAAGGAGGAGCUUGCUUCUCUGGAUGAGUUGCGAACGGGUGAGUAACGCGUAGGUAACCUGCCUGGUAGCGGGGGAUAACUAUUGGAAACGAUAGCUAAUACCGCAUAAUAGCAGUUAUUGCAUGAUAACUGUUUGAAAGGUGCAAUUGCACCACUACCAGAUGGACCUGCGUUGUAUUAGCUAGUUGGUGGGGUAACGGCUCACCAAGGCGACGAUACAUAGCCGACCUGAGAGGGUGAUCGGCCACACUGGGACUGAGACACGGCCCAGACUCCUACGGGAGGCAGCAGUAGGGAAUCUUCGGCAAUGGACGGAAGUCUGACCGAGCAACGCCGCGUGAGUGAAGAAGGUUUUCGGAUCGUAAAGCUCUGUUGUAAGAGAAGAACGAGUGUGAGAGUGGAAAGUUCACACUGUGACGGGAUCUUACCAGAAAGGGACGGCUAACUACGU